rnacentral:lncRNA from 1 species
GGUAUGCAAAAACAGGCAAAACCAAAUCAUAGUGUUUUGGGAGGUAUGCUUACAUAGUAAAGCUCUGAAGGAAAACAAAGAAAAGGCGACUAAAGAGAAUGACAACUUACACAAUGCAGAAUCCUGGAUUGGAUCCUAGAUCCAAUCAACGUGUAGGGAUGCUGAUCCCACUCCAAGUCUAGAACAUCAUUCACAUCUUGGACAGCAAAUUUCACAUACUGAUGAAGGCGCCGAAUUUCCUAUAAGAAAAAAAUUAAAAGUCAUUCUGCAAAAUCUACAAGUGGAUAGCGCACCACCACUACCUGGGCCCACUGUGUCCCUGCAAGAAAGACAACGUGAAAGAAGGUUCUUGUAUGCAAAGGUGCUUUGCUCCUUCUGACAGUUUUUCAAAGUCAAACAGAAAGUACUUCUGGUGAAUCACAA